UUACAGUCAUCCGCUUCUGAUUGGUUCAGUGCGGCAUAUUUGGUGCUCGGGUUAUGGGAAACUGCACAUUUUUUCCCCCUGCCUUCCAGAGGCGGCAGCAGCAGGGCACGCUAAUGUUAACUAUUUCAGACUAUUUAAGUACACAACUUCAUGUUUAUCAGUCAGUCAAUAAACAUGAAAUACCUAUGAUGUGCCAGGCACUGUGCUAAGCUUUGAAGAUACCAGAGGCAAAAGACAGUUCUUGGCUCUCAAGAAGCUCCUAGUCUGAUGGGGGGAGACAACCUGUCCAGGACUUAGGUACAAACAAGAUAUAAACAGGAUAAAUUGAAGAUAAUCAACUGAGAGGAGGCACUAGAAUUAAGUGGAAUUGGGAAAGGCUUGUUGUAGAAGUUGGGAUUUUAGUUGGGAUUUGAAGAAGUCAGGGAAGCCAAGAGACACAGAUGAGGAGGAAUUGAAUUCCAGGCAUGGGGGGCAGCCAGUGAAAAUACAUAGAGUGUCUUAUUCAAGAACAGCAAGAAGGUUGAUGUUACUGGAUCAAAGAGUAUGUGGAUAGAUGGAGGAGGGAAACUAGUGGGUGGAAUUUAAGAUAUAAGAAAAUUAGAAAGAUGGUGAGCCAGGUUUUGAGGAGCAUAAGAAACAAUGUGAUAAGAGCUCUCUCAACUUUACUGCAAUUAUUUUUUUCAAAAUCACCUAUUCACUUCUGUCUCAGAGGAUGUAACCCUGUUUCCUAAGACUAAUCCUCUCUGCACCUGUGCCCUUGAUUCCAUCUUCUCUCACCUUCUAGACCUUGCCGCAGCUAUCAUCCCCUUUUCCUCACACAUAUUCACUGUAUCACUCUGAAUUGGUUCCUCAUCUGCCAAGUUUUCCCAAUCCUAAAAUAUCAUUCCUUCAACUCUUGUACAUCUUACAAAGGUACAUUCUCCCAUUCUUCUACCAUUUGUGUCCAUUCUUUUACUUCCCUCAGCAUCCACUUUCUCUUCAGCAACUUGCAAUCUGAUUUCUGUCCCUAUUACUCUACUGAAACUACUUUUUAAAAAAUUAUUUUAUUUAUUAAACUUAUUAUGCAUUCCUUUUUUCCUUACCAUCUCCCCCACUCACUGAAAAGAAAGAAAAAUCAAAGGAAGGACAAAAAGGAAGGAAGGGAAGGGAAGGAAAGAGGGAGGGAAGGAAGAAAAGGGAGGAGAGCAGGGAAGGAAAAGAAGAGAUGAA
rnacentral:lncRNA from 1 species